CCUACGGGGGGCUGCAGUGAGGAAUAUUGGACAAUGGAUGGAAAUCUGAUCCAGCCAUGCCGCGUGCAGGAAGACGGCCCUAUGGGUUGUAAACUGCUUUUGUAUGGGAGCAAUAAGGUCUAUGCGUAGACUGAUGAGAGUACCAUACGAAUAAGCAUCGGCUAACUCCGUGCCAGCAGCCGCGGUAAUACGGGGGAUGCAAGCGUUAUCCGGAUUUAUUGGGUUUAAAGGGUGCGUAGGCGGUUUGAUAAGUCAGCGGUGAAAUAUUUCAGCUUAACUGAAAGGGUGCCGUUGAUACUGUCAGGCUUGAAUAUGGUUGCUGUGGGUGGAAUGUGUGGUGUAGCGGUGAAAUGCUUAGAUAUCACACAGAAUAUCGAUUGCGAAGGCAGCUCACAAAGCCAUUAUUGACGCUGAUGCACGAAAGUGUGGGGAUCAAACAGGAUUAGAUACCCCUGUAGUC
rnacentral:rRNA from 1 species